UCUACUAAAAUUAUAAAAAUUAGCCAUCCGUGGUGGUAGGCGCAUGUAAUCCCAGCUACUCAGGAGGCUGAGGCAGGAGAAUCGCUGGAACCCAGGAGGUGGUGGUUGCAGUGAGCCAAGAUCAUAUCACUGCACUCCAGCCUCGGCGUCAGAGUGAGACACUGUCUCAAACAAACAAACAAACAAAACCAGAGAUGGAGUUUUGCCAUGUUUCCCAGGCCAGUCUUGAACUCCUGAGCUCUAGCGAUCUGCCUUCCUUGGCCUCCCAAAGUGAUGGGAUUCUAGGUGUGAGCCAUGGUACCCAGCCCAUUUUCUAUUUUCUCAUCACUGCUUCCAACUUCCUUCAGUUCCUUAGCCCUAUCUAGGGCAGAUUCAUCACUUUGGCGUGGUAAAACUCAGGCCAGCCCUGUUUCAAGCCCCACUCACAUAUCAGGUUCGCAGUGCUUUACCUCCUCUUCCCAGCACAACUGAGGCACUCACCCUGCUUGCUGGGAGAAUGAGGAGAUUGGGGAGUGGGCAUGGUCUAGUUCAGUGAUACCUCCUGCCUCUUUUCUUUUCAAGGCCUCACUUCCUAGCUGCCAUGGAGUGGACAGGAGGAAUGGAAGGACAAGGAAGAAGGCAGCAGAGGUCUCUUAAUGUGGCUGGCUAGAGGUCCAAGACCUGUUUGUUGAAAUGGAGUCUUCUGCUGGCAAAUCAUCACAUAGAAAAAGAGGUACUCAGGAGGCCGAGGCAGGAGAAUCACUUGAACCCAGGAGGUGGAAGUUGCCCAGGAGGUGAGCUGAGAUCGCACCACUGCACUCCAGUCUGGGCAACAGAGCAAGACUCCAUCAAGUCUCCUGCCACUCCAGAAAACUACUCCACAAAGGUACCUUCAGCACAACAGUUAGUAUUAUUGUUACUGUUUUUUAAUAUGGAACACUUCACGAAUUUACACGUCAUCUUUGCACAGGGUCAUGCUGAUUUUCUCUGUAUAUUCCAAUUUUAGUGCAUCUUCUGCAGAAGCAGGCACAGUAUAGGUUAUUAAUAUUGCAGGCUGACUAGAAUACAAUGUGGCCAUUAAUUUUCACUACUUCCUCUCUGGGUACUGGUGGCCAGGGUACUUUUCCUGCUAGAAUCUCAUUCUCUGCCUUUCCUGUGGUAAUGUCCCAUGUUAUUCUGUGAGCCUCACUGGCCAGGUAGGGAACACUGGAUAGGGAACCUUGCUGUGCUGGAGCUGGCCAGGUGCCCCUCCUCUGUGUCUCUACUUGCCCCGUGUGUUUUCUAUCACUCAUUUACACACCAGUUGAUAGUACUUAGCCCAGGAGGCAGUAUAUAGUAAACUCUUAGGAAAUGUGAACUUAAUUAAUUCACAAGCAAAACCUUUGAGUUCGUGUCAUCUUUCUUUUAGAUUGCACUUGUUACCACAAUGCUGGGCUGUAGUGUAGACCUCCCUUGCUAUCAAACUCAUUCUUCCAAAAGGAGAGUACAUGGGAAGGUGGAAGGACUUCCCAUGUGCCAGGAAAUGGUUGGCUCUAAUCUUAGAAAAUGAACUAGGGGCCAGGCACCGUGGCUCACACCUGUAAUCCCAGCACUUUGGGAGGCCAAAGUGGGCGGAUCACCUGAGGUCAGGAGCUCAAGAUCAGCUGGCCAACAUGGCGAAACGCCAUCUCCACUAAAAAUCCAAAAAGUGGCUGGGCAUGGUGAUGCAUGCCUGUAAUCCCAGUUACUCGGGAGGCUGAGACAGAAUUGUUUGAACCGAGGAGGUGGAGGUUGCAGUGAGCUGAGAUGGCACCACUGGACACCAGCCUGGGCAACAGAGCAAGACUCCGUCUCAAAAGAAAGAAAAUGAACUUGGGUUCUUCAGCCAUUAUUAGAGCCUCGGGAGAACAAGAAAUAUGGCAGUUGUAUCCAGAGACCAACGAAAUGUUGUCAAACACGUCUACUAGGGCCUGUCUGACAUUUCAACUGCCUGCAAGAACCACUGCCACAGCCCAAAGGGGCCUCAAUCGGCCAUCCAGCCAGACUCAGUCUUCCAAGGCAGCUGUACCUGCUGUCACACCGUCCAGGAGACAGACGUUCUGUACGGAGGAAAUACCAGCAGGCUCACUCAGUACUGAAUCCUUGCAUAGGGCGCCCUUGAUCAGCUACUCUUUUAUUAAAUGACAGAGUCAUAAAGUUUUUUUUCUUUUUACCAAAAUGGCAUUAUUUUUGCCUUUGUGUUACUGUGCAAAUGCUCUAAGAAAUAGAUAUGUCUGUUGAGCCUGUUACAAGGACAAAUAUUAUAGUUUUAGAAACCAGGGGCAUUGUUAGAACUGUUAGAAACAAGAAAAAACGAAAACACUGGCUGGACAGAAGCGUAAAACUAUCUCACCUUUAUACUCAGACAUUAGAAUACCAUUCCUGGACUUCACACUUUAGAAAGCCCCAUAUUGCAAACGUACAGAUACAAAAUCACUAAAGAACAACAGGCACCUAUGGGUUGCUUGGAUCUGGUGAGCGGUGCUGGUGCAGCGUGAUCCACAGCCUUCAACAUGGGCACUUGUGACUAACACUGUUCAGGACCCCUCCUGGGUUCAAGCAAUUCUCCUGCCUCAGCCUCCCGAGUAGCUGGGACUACAGGUGUGUGCCACUAUGCCCAGCUAAUUUUUGUAUUUUUAGUAGAGACGGGGUUUCACCAUGUUGACCAGGAUGGUCUCGAUCUCUUGACCUCGUGAUUCACCCGUCUCGGCCCCCCAGCGAUUUUUGGAUUCUUCAGAGGCAAGCACUGACUUAAGAUGUGGGAAGAUUUUGAGCAGCCCAGGUGCUUGGUAAUAAAAAGGACUAAUUAAUUAGCAUGUUGAUUCCUACUCUCAGAGAACAGAAAUAAAUUGAUUUUUGCAUAACAAAACACAUUUCCCCACUUUUUCUUUUUCUUUUUUUCUUUUUUUUUUUUUUGAGACAGAGUCCCGUUCUAUCACCUAGGCUGGAGUGCAAUGGCGUAAUCUCAGCUCACUGCAACCUCUGCCUCCCAGGAUCAUGCAGUUCUCCUGCCUCAGUCAAAUAGCUGGGAUUACAGGCGCCCACCACCACGCCUGGCUAAUUUUUGUAUUUUUGGUAAACACAGAGUUUCACCAUGUUGGCCAGGCUGGUCUCAAACUCCUGACCUCCGAUGAUCCGCCCCCUCAGACUCCCAAAGUGCUGGGAUUACAGGUGUGAGUCACCGCAGGCCACAUUUUCCCACUGUAUUGAUUGUCCGAUUCCUGAUUCUGGAGAUACUCCCAAAUCAGUGCAAUAUUUGCAACAGUUGUAAAUAAUGUUUCGCAGCUGUGCCUGGUAGCUCACGCCUGUAAUCCCAGCACUUUGGGAGGCCAAGGCACGAGGACUGCUUGAGCCCAGGGGCUCAAGACCAGCCCGGGCAACAUACUGAGACUGUCUCUUCCAAAAUUUCAAAGGUUAAAUUAAAUUAAAAUAUGUUUUGCAAUAGU